rnacentral:rRNA from 1 species
GACGAACGCUGGCGGCGUGCUUAACACAUGCAAGUCGAGCGGUAAGGCCCUUUCGGGGGUACGACGAGCGGCGAACGGGUGAGUAACACGUGGGUGACCUGCCCUCAGCUCUGGGAUAAGCCUGGGAAACCGGGUCUAAUACUGGAUAUGACUCCAUGACGCAUGUUGUGGGGUGGAAAGCCUUGUGCGGCUGAGGAUGGGCCCGCGGCCUAUCAGCUUGUUGGUGGGGUGANGGCCUACCAAGGCGACGACGGGUAGCCGGCCUGAGAGGGCGACCGGCCACACUGGUACUGAGACACGGCCCAGACUCCUACGGGAGGCAGCAGUGGGGAAUCUUGCGCAAUGGGCGAAAGCCUGACGCAGCGACGCCGCGUGAGGGAUGACGGCC